ACAGAGGCCUCGAGCGUUAGGCGGAAUCGCUGGGCUUAAAGCGCGUGUAGGCGGACUUCUAAGUACCUUGUGAAAUCCCACGGCUCACCCGUGGAACUGCUUGGUAUACUGGUUGUCUUGAGCCUUCUAGGGGCGAGUGGAACAAAUGGUGGAGCGGUGAAAUGCGUAGAUAUCAUUUGGAACGCCAAUGGUGAAAACAACUCGCUGGGGAAGUGCUGACGCUGAGACACGAAAGCCAGGGGAGCGAACGGG
rnacentral:rRNA from 1 species